UACGAAGGGGGCUAGCGUUGUUCGGAAUUACUGGGCGUAAAGCGCGUGUAGGCGGGUCUUUAAGUCAGGGGUGAAAUGCCAGGGCUCAACCUUGGAACUGCCUUUGAUACUGGAGACCUUGAGUCCGGGAGAGGUGAGUGGAAUUGCGAGUGUAGAGGUGAAAUUCGUAGAUAUUCGCAAGAACACCAGUGGCGAAGGCGGCUCACUGGCCCGGAACUGACGCUGAGGUGCGAAAGCGUGGGGAGCAAACAGGGAUUAA
rnacentral:rRNA from 1 species